UACAGAGGGUGCAAGCGUUAAUCGGAAUUACUGGGCGUAAAGCGUGCGCAGACGGUUGCGUAAGUCAGAUGUGAAAGCCCCGGGCUCAACCUGGGAAUUGCAUUUGAGACUGCGUAGCUAGGGUGCGGAAGAGGGAAGCGGAAUUCCGGGUGUAGCGGUGGAAUGCGUAGAGAUCCGGAAGAACACCGGUGGCGAAGGACGGCCCGCUGGGCAGGAAGGCUCGCAAGAGCCGGCUGACGCUGAGGCGCGACAGCGUGGGGAGCAAACAGG
rnacentral:rRNA from 1 species